UGGAUUGUGGCCUAAAUCUUUUCAAUAUUUCGCCAAAAUCAAACGCGGCAAACCAAAAGCCUUUUAAUUACUUUUCCCAGAUUUUUAGCCUACUCUCUAGACUCUAGUAACUAUUCUUGCUAGGAUAUUUUUAAUCAGUUCUAAUUCAAAGAGUUCCUCCCCUGUUGCGUCCUGCUACUGCUGAUCGAAGAAGAACAGUCAGAAGACCUGUUGUUGCUGAUCGGAGAAGAACGGUAAGAACUCUAUCUUUAAUUGCUUUACCCGAUUUCUGCUACACUAAAUUAUGGAAAUAACAAUUUCUGUUAUUGUCUUUUAUCAGUGAAGUACUUAAUUGGGUAUGGUCAUCUUAAAUUCUUCUACGCCAGAGUAGGACUUGUGCUUUUUUCUCCUAUAAUUCUAUAUGCUUCAGAAAGAAACUUUGCAUAAGUUUUUUGUUUUAUUGUUGUCCAGAUUCUUGUUCCUUGCAUAAGAUUUUUGUUUUAAAUUUGUCCAGAUUCUUGUUCCUUUUUUUAAUGGACUUUUUUCUAUUGUUGGCACAAUAUGAAUGUGAUAUUAUUUCCUCGAAGGAUUUUGUGAUAAGAGAUUGAAUUGAAGGUCAACAGUUUCACACUUCUAGUUUUAAAUACCAAUUUAAUGAGAAGUUUAUCUAUUGUUUGUUAUUUGUGGUAUUGGAUCUAUUUGGUCAUGAAAAGUUUGCUUUAUGUCCCCUGUCCAAUUUUGGUUAUUUUAAUAGUUUAUUCAUGUAUAUGGCUAUUCAUUUAAUCCAAAGUAAAGUAAAUUUUGGAUUAAUUGUUAGAUGCAUUAAAUUAUUACUAAAUUCUGGUUGUAAUACAAUUAAUUUACAAUUGUAGAUGAUUUUCAACUUUGGGAAGAAUCAUUAUUUUACUAAGUAUUUAUAUUAUUUUUUUUUGAGAAAAGAAAAAUCUUAGACAAUUAGUACCUCAUUCCCUUACACUCUGUUAACAACUGAGAGAGUGUGAAAGAAUUUUUUUAAUCCAAUCACAGAUGAAUCGAUUCGCCUUGUAAUUUUUAAUUUUUAAAGAAGAACACAUACUCUGUCUUAGACAUUAAUACUUCCCUGACUCCUAGUAAACAGGAAUCUACUAAGGCUGCUAAAAACCAUAAACUGAUCAAAGUGCAAGUUGAUUUAUCUUUUAUUUCUAAAAUAUCAUGAUGUUGUUGCUUCUGUCUCACCUUCGUAGUGCACAAUUUGCUUGUUUGUUAAUUCUGUUCUAUUUAGAAAACACCAUUUUCUUAAUGGUAUUUCAGUGAAAAAAAAAUGCAUAUGUCCUCAAUUCCCUUCCACUGCUGGCAUAAUCUAACUUCAUGUUAGUAUUUUCAGCUUAAUGUUAUUGGUACAUAUGUGGUUAUUUAGCUUACACAAUUCUUUGACUCUUUUGUUUAUUCCUUAUUUUAUUAGAUGGUCUUGUAUCAUUAAUCCUUAUGGAGUAAGAAAUUCUGAGUCAUCUUACUUUUCCCACCUGUUAUGGUGUCGAAGGUAACACGAGUGUGAUGUUAAAUUUAUUAAAGGUGAGUUUGGAAAAUUAUUUGGAUAUAGUUACAAGUAAUUACAUAAUUCAUGCUCUUCUAGCAUUUGCAUUUCUAUGAUUCAAUUCAAGCUAUGACCUUGCCAUAUUACAAUUCUGAAGAAGAACAAAAAGAGCAAGAAAAAAUGAUGUUCAAAUUAGAAAUUAAAAGAAGAAAGACAAGAAGCUGAAGACAAGAAAAUUACAGCUUUGGAUGUAGGCAAAAUAUCGAAAAAGCAUAUGAUAGUAGUCAUGUUUGUGAACUAUAAAAUCUUGUAGGCUAAGACAUUGAGCAUGAAAUAGAGUUCUGAAUUUUUGAGUUGAGGUUUGCAUGGAAUAGAGUUUUGAAUUUUCAUGGUCUUUAACUUAAAAGUCACACAGAGAACUUUUCAUGAUAUAAAAAUAAAGCAAGGACAACCAUCUAAGGAAAUAACCUGGCAUCAGAAUCCAUCUUAGUGAGUCUGUUAAGUAAUUAAACACACAUUGGUUUGUUUGUCUUAGUAGGCUGGUUAAGUAAUUACUUGAUUAAUGUUGAAAUGAUCAUUACAGGAAGAUUACAAUUACAUGCUCCAAUUCUUGGGAAGGCUACUGCAAACUGUUACUUACAAGUUUUCAGUUUUCCCUUUAUGUCCAUCUAAUAAUUUAUCGCAACAAUAAUUUUUGUG
rnacentral:lncRNA from 1 species